rnacentral:rRNA from 1 species
UACGUAGGAGACGAGCGUUGUCCGGAGUUACUGGGCGUAAAGGGUGCGCAGGUGGCGGCGCGCGUGGGGGGUGAAAUCGCCCGGCUUAACUGGGCGGGGGCCUUCCAGACGGCGUGGCUUGAGCAGCGGAGGGGGACGUGGAAUUCCGGGUGGAGCGGUGAAAUGCGUAGAGAUCGGCAGGAACACCCAGGGGGAAACCAGCCGGCUGGGGACGUGCUGACGCUCAGGGGCGAAAGCGUGGGGAGCGAACCGG